rnacentral:rRNA from 1 species
GACGGAGGGUGCAAGCGUUGUUCGGAAUUACUGGGCGUAAAGGGCGCGUAGGCGGUCUGUUAAGUUCGGUGUGAAAGCCCCCGGCUCACCUGGGGAACUGCGCCGGAAACCGACAGACUCGAGUACCGGAGAGGAGGGUGGAAUUCCUGGUGUAGCGGUGAAAUGCGUAGAUAUCAGGAGGAACACCGGUGGCGAAGGCGGUUCUCUGGGCAUUACCUGACGCUGAGGAGCGAAAGCAUGGGGAGCGAACAGG